rnacentral:lncRNA from 1 species
GUUCUUGAUAUAAUCUUAUAACCCGCCUAUCGCUCUUUAUCUAGUCUUAUAAUUUCCAUCUAUUUUUUUUUAUUCAGUCUCAUAAUCACUGAUCUGCCUUCAUCCAAUUUCAUAAUCUCCAUCCAUCUCCCUUCAUCCAUUCUCGUAACCGAUCUUCCUUUAUCCAAUUUCGUAAUCUCCAUCUAUCUCCCUUCAUCCAUUCUCAUAAUCGCCGAUCUUCCUUCAUUCAAUUUCAUGAUACCCAUCCAUUUUCCUUCAUCCAGUCUCAUAAUUACUAAUCUUCAUCCAAUUUCAUAAUCUCCAUCCAUCUCUCUUCAUCCAGUCUCAUAAUCACCGAUUUUUCUUCAUCCAAUUUCAUAAUCUUCAUCCAUCUCCCUUCGUCCAAUCUCAUAAUCAAUGAUCUUUUGUCAUCCAAUUUCAUAAUCCCCAUCCAUCUCCCUUCAUCCAGUCUCACAAUCACUAAUCAUCCUUCAUUCAAUUUCAUAAUCUCCAUCCAUCUCCCUUCGUACAGUCUCACAACCUGCUAUCUCUCUUCAUUCAGUCUCAUAAUUUUUAUCCAAUCAUUGUAAUCUCUCAUUUUCAAUCUUUUGCUGUGAAUUUGCGAGAGAAUGAUAUUUUUAAUUUUUUACAUUCAUUACUCUCACAUUGGGGUUUUAUGGGAGGAAAUUUUAUAAAAAUUUUAUAAAACUCUAAACUUAGUGAAAGUUGAACUCAAGACCUCAUAUACUCUGAUGUUAUGUAAAAUAAUCAAUUGCCUUUAAAAGUUUAAACCGUUAGAAAAUAAUAUUUUUAAUAUUUUUAUAUGCAGCACAUGUCAUUCAGGGAUAAGAGACUGUUUGACCCCACAUUUUGCUUUAGCUUUUAGCAAUAGUAAUUUUAGAAUGGUGUUUGACGAUGAAAAAAUAAAAAUAAAUAAAUGCAGAGCUUUUGGCAAAAACGCAAAGUAAAAAAUUAAAUU